AUUUUAGUGUCUUCUUUGUCUCCAAAGCUAAAUGCGGCUGUUGUCCUUUCUCAGAAGUGAUAUAAAACGCAUCACUCGAGCUGCUGCGCAAAUGUCACUGGACUACACCAUUUUGUAAACAUAGCCAUACUGAACACACAGAGGGAGUUUUG